rnacentral:lncRNA from 1 species
UCCUCCUCGGGGCCACGCGCGCUCGCUGGAGACUCGGGCUCGGGCGGCGCUGGCUCGGCUCAAAUUAACGGCGAGAAGGCGCGGUCCUAACGCUCGCUGGCUGGACGCGGCUGCGCCGGCCGAGGAGGGGCGCAGAGUCCGAUGGCGGCGGCCGCGCCGCGGGGCCCGGCCCGGGUAAGGCGGCCCCGGAGGUCGGCGGUUCGCGUUUCCGCGCGCGCCCGUGCCCGCCGGGUCCCGCCCUGACGCCUCUUGUCCCGCUGGAUUCUCGCGAGUUGGAAACGCGCGGGAGCGUCCAGCGCUGCGCCGGCGGCCGCCGCGGAGCUGGUGUCGGACCGGGAGCGAGACCCGCGGGCCGCGGCCGCCCCAGCGGUCCCCAGGCGGCGGGCGACUGCCCGCUUUUACGGUGUCCCCUUAACCUUUCUGCUCUGUUCGUCUGCACCCGCGCCCCGGGGCACGUCUGUACGUGUCGCUCGUUGUCAUUUUAUUCCUUGGAUGAAUAAAAUGUCGUUGCGUGUCCGCCGAAGGCCUUUGGGUGUUGUCCCUCCGUGGGCCACGCGCGGUGUCAGCGCUGUCCCUAGCCCCCGGCCGCGGUUGCCGGGCUGCGAAGCCGACUCCGUGGG